CUGUAGCAUCUUGACCAGAGAACUCCAUGCCCAUCAUACAGUCCCGGUUGGCCCAUUUCCCUAGGCGUGAAAGGGAGAUCUUGGAUGGUUCUGUCCUACCAGCGAGUGACAACUGGAGACAAGAAAAGAUUCUUCCCUAUAUAACUACAAGGAAUACAGGCUCUAGAAGCAGUCCUCUUGCAACCAAACUGGAGAUGGAAUUGGGCCAAGUUGCUCCUCAGUGCCCAGGAAGGACAUGAUGCUGAUGGGGAUGUCACCACUUCUCUAGCUUACCUAAUUCUUCACAGUUCCUUCACAGAUGCUUAGAAUCAAUCAAUCAACAUUUAUUAAGAAACUACCAUGUGUAUCGUCACCAUCCUAAGCACUGGAAGAGGCAAAAGACAGUCCCUGCCCUCAAGGAGCUCAUAAAAGGGUUUUGAACCUUUAAAUGAGGGUGGGGUGCGGGGUGCAGCAAGGCCCCUGUCCCUUGUCCUCUGCUUCUUCAUUUCAGCGUUAACUCCCUAAGUUUUCCUUCCUCUGUCCUCAAGUCACACAUUCUGAUGCUGUUCUCCCAGUAGUGAAAGCCUCUCUGGCUCUCUGGUUCUUCAGUGUGACAUCACCUUGUGCUGUAACAAGGCUGACUAGGUCGGCUUUUUUCUCCUUCAUUCUUCCCACCAUGUCCUCAAAUCCCACUGCCACACCAGGCCUUUGAUCUGUUAUUCCUGGACCAACUCCCUGCUUAAAAGAAAUAAAUAAUAAUAAUAAUAAUAGUAAAUUCCUGCUUCUUUUUAACUCUGGGCUCCCAAUGGUUCCUGGCAGUGGCCUGUCCCCUUGAAAGCCUUGCUCCCUGUGGCUUGUUAACUGCCUGAGUUCCCCUGGUCCAGGGGUCUCCAGGCCCAUGGUGGGUGAGAAGGGCUUCAGAGAAAACGGCAAAUGCCCUAGCAAUUCCAUCACGGCCCAGGAUGACAUUAGCGGGUGAGUGUAUGUGUGGGCAUCUCAGACCACACCAGAGGUCCAUACAAGCUUAGCUAUAUACCCGGGCAGGGGUACUUCCCUGACCAAUGCAGAGGGACUUGGAAACCAUCAACUGCUGCAUUCUCUGGAUUCAUUAAGGAUCUUAAAGCCUUUUGGCCCAUAAAUAAGUUGCUGCUAUUGCAACUUGGGGAAGCUCUCUUCAUUUUCCUUGCUUCCAGGUGGGUGCCGUCUAUUCUUACUUACUUACACACACACACACACACACACACACACACACACACACACUUCCAUAGUACUAUACACUGCCUUUGUUCUCCUGUUUUCCCUCCAUUAGGAAUAAUGCAGAAGAAAGCUGCACCCCCCUGCCCUAAUUGAUCCUCCUUAGCCUUGAGACUGCCUCUUCCUCUACACUAGAGUUUGCAGGGAGGAUAUCAUUCUCUUUGGUUCACGCCACUGACGGGGCGAUCACUACAAUAUCAGACCCCAUCAGGUCAGAGACCCUGCUAUAACGCAAUGGUCCCCACAGAGGGACGCAACCUCCUGGUCUGAGGCAUGCGAGAGCUCUCCUUUCCUGGCCAGGGUCGGGUUCUCUUCCCUCUGUUUGACAUCGCUGAGAACAGACAUCCCCCUCCCCAUAACUGGGGCCAGACAGGUGGGGAUACAGCUUUCAUAACAAAAGCUAGAAAAAGAACAAAGUUCCCCAAACAAAAAAAUGACUGGCCCAGUGACUGAUCACUUAGUGUAGUCCCUAGGGCUCUGGCUAGCUCCCAUUUAUCUGUGAGCCCUGUCGGCAGCUGAAGAUGGUUUCUCUCUUAUUUGGAGGGGGCAAGAGGAGGGAACUCUCAGUUUGCAUUUCCUAGGGGGGAAAAGGGCACAGCAGUGCCAAAUCUCUGGACACUCUGCCCUUGACCCUCACGGUGUACCCAUCCUGCUUUGGGGUAGCUCAGUUUCCCCAGGGUGGAGGUUUGGGGUGGGAUGGGGUGUCAUGCAGU